UGGGGAAUAUUGCGCAAUGGGGGGAACCCUGACGCAGCGACGCCGCGUGAAGGAAGAAGGCCUUCGGGUUGUAAACUUCUUUGAUUGGGGAAGAAAAAUGACGGUACCCAAAGAACAAGCCACGGCUAACUACGUGCCAGCAGCCGCGGUAAUACGUAGGUGGCGAGCGUUAUCCGGAAUUACUGGGUGUAAAGGGCGUGUAGGCGGGGAUGCAAGUCAGAUGUGAAAUUCCGGGGCUCAACCUCGGCACUGCAUCUGAAACUGUGUCUCUUGAGUGCUGGAGAGGAAAGUGGAAUUCCUAGUGUAGCGGUGAAAUGCGUAGAGAUUAGGAGGAACACCAGUGGCGAAGGCGACUUUCUGGACAGCAACUGACGCUGAGGCGCGAGAGCGUGGGGAGCAAACA
rnacentral:rRNA from 2 species